rnacentral:rRNA from 1 species
UACGUAGGGAGCGAGCGUUGUCCGAAGUUACUGGGCGUAAAGCGCGCGUAGGCGGGCUGUUAAGUGAGAGGUGAAAGGCUGGGGGCUUAACCCCCAUGCAGUGCCUCUCAUACUGGCGGUCUUGAGUGCGGCAGGGAGAAGUGGAAUGGCUGGUGUAGCGGUGAAAUGCGUAGAUAUCAGUCGGAACACCGGUGGCGAAGGCGGCUUCUUGGGCCUGGACUGACGCUGAGGCGCGAAAAGCUGGGGGGGAGCGAACGGGG